AUAUUUCUUACUCUCUCGGGGCUGGAAGCUUCCUGACUGAAGAUCUCUCUGCACUUGGGGUUCUUUCUAGAACAUUUUCUAGUCCCCCAACACCCUUUAUGGCGUAUUUCUUUAAAAAAAUCACCUAAAUUCCAUAAAAUAUUUUUUUAAAUUCUAUACUUUCUCCUAGUGUCUUCUUGACACGUCCUCCAUAUUUUUUUAAAGAAAGUAUUUGGAAUAUUUUGAGGCAAUUUUUAAUAUUUAAGGAAUUUUUCUUUGGAAUCAUUUUUGGUUGACAUCUCUGUUUUUUGUGGAUCAGUUUUUUACUCUUCCACUCUCUUUUCUAUAUUUUGCCCAUCGGGGCUGCGGAUACCUGGUUUUAUUAUUUUUUCUUUGCCCAACGGGGCCGUGGAUACCUGCCUUUUAAUUCUUUUUUAUUCGCCCAUCGGGGCCGCGGAUACCUGCUUUUUAUUUUUUUUUCCUUAGCCCAUCGGGGUAUCGGAUACCUGCUGAUUCCCUUCCCCUCUGAACCCCCAACACUCUGGCCCAUCGGGGUGACGGAUAUCUGCUUUUUAAAAAUUUUCUUUUUUUGGCCCAUCGGGGCUUCGGAUACCUGCUUUUUUUUUUUUUAUUUUUCCUUGCCCAUCGGGGCCUCGGAUACCUGCUUUAAUUUUUGUUUUUCUGGCCCAUCGGGGCCGCGGAUACCUGCUUUGAUUUUUUUUUUUCAUCGCCCAUCGGUGCUUUUUAUGGAUGAAAAAAUGUUGGUUUUGUGGGUUGUUGCACUCUCUGGAAUAUCUACACUUUUUUUUGCUGCUGAUCAUUUGGUGGUGUGUGAGUGUACCUACCGCUUUGGCAGAGAAUGACUCUGCAGUUAAGCUAAGGGCGUGUUCAGAUUGUGGAGGAAAAGUGGCCGCCAUUUUAGACUUGCCGCAUAACUCGGCUUAGGGCUAGUCGUUUGUGCUAAGUUAAACUAGGGAGGCAAGAUGGAUGAUAGCAGGUCAGGCAGAGGAAGUCAUGUGCAUUGCAUGAGCUAAACCUAUCUGAAUGAAUUGAUUUGGGGCUUGUUAGGAGCUUUGCGUGAUUGUUGUAUCGGGAGGCAGUAAGAAUCAUCUUUUAUCAGUACAAGGGACUAGUUAAAAAUGGAAGGUUAGGAAAGACUAAGGUGCAGGGCUUAAAAUGGCGAUUUUGACAUUGCGGCAUUGCUCAGCAUGGCGGGCUGUGCUUUGUUAGGUUGUCCAAAAUGGCGGAUCCAGUUCUGUCGCAGUGUUCAAGUGGCGGGAAGGCCACAUCAUGAUGGGCGAGGCUUUGUUAAGUGGUUAGCAUGGUGGUGGACAUGUGCGGUCACACAGGAAAAGAUGGCGGCUGAAGGUCUUGCCGCAGUGUAAAACAUGGCGGGCCUCUUUGUCUUUGCUGUGUGCUUUUCGUGUUGGGUUUUGCCGCAGGGACAAUAUGGCAGGCGUUGUCAUAUGUAUAUCAUGGCUUUUGUCACGUGGACAUCAUGGCGGGCUUGCCGCAUUGUUAAAGAUGGCGGGUUUUGCCGCCUAGUGCCACGCAGAGCGGGAGAAAAGGUGGGAUGGACAGUGCUGGAUUGCUGCAUAACCCAACCAAUUAGAAAUGGGGGUGGAAUUGAUCACAGCCAAUUAGAGCAGAAGAUGGAAUUAGACUGAUGACACACUGUCCAGCUACUCAGCGAAGACCUGGGUGAAUUAGCAUGGCACUUCGCAGCUGUCUUUAGCCAGUCAGGAGAAAGAAGUGGAGGGGCCACGUGUAUGUCUCCCAGUGGGCGGUACACCAGGUGUUUUCAAGGUCUUUUCAAGGACAUUUAGCCUUUCCACCUCUGUCCCCUCUUAUUUGUCCCCUCCUGUCCAGUGCUGCCUCUUGCAGUGCUGGAUAUCUGGCUGUGUGGUCUGAACCUCCCUCCAUUCCUCUGUAUUGGUGCCUCACCUAAGGCUAAGUAUACCUCCCCCCCCACCCCCCAACCCCCCCAACUCCCCACCCCCACCCCCCACCCCCCACCUCCCCACCCCCCUACCCCCCUACCCCCCUACCCCCCUCUGGUCUGCCCUGCACUGCACUGUUGCCAUGGGCAGUGCUCCAGGCCUGCUUGGUGUGGACAUGGUGGUGAGCCGUGGCAAGGACCAGAAUGGAUCACAGAUGAUCGUUGGCCAACAGGUGGCAGAAGAGGAAUUCCUGCCUUCCUCAAGAGGAACACCUACCCCUUGGCUAAUGCUGGGGAUGUCAAAAGAUCGGCCCAGCUCAGGGAGCAGUUUGCCCUACUAGCUCCUCGGACAGCUGUAAAGAAGAGUCUCUGGCUCUUUAGAAUACUGAUCCCAUUGAAGAUACCACGCUGCAUGUGUCCUUAGUAGUCAUGUCUCCUUAGGCUCCUCUUGGACAUUCUGAGCAUGUGAGACCUGAGGACUGCAAACAGCUAUAAGAGGCUCCAAAUUAAUCAUAUCUUUCCCUUUGAGAAUCUGGCCAAGCUCCAGCUAAUCUACUUGGAUGGGUUGCCAGCUAUCUGGAGAAAAAGAUCUUCCUCAGAAGAAUAGGCUUGUUGUUUUACAGUGUUAGUGAUCCAUUCCCUUUGACGAUCCCUAGGUGGAGAUGGGGCAUGAGGAUCCUCCAGGGGAAAAGCUCACUACCACUGGGCAACAACCCUAGGUCAGGAGGUUCUGUCAAGAUACUUUCCUGGUCCCAGAUAGGAAGAUAAAGUCUCAAAAACAACCACCACACGUCAAGCUCUUCAUUGUUCCUAUCUGCCAAAUCAUUAUACUUCCUACAAGCAGUGCAGAGAGCUGAGUCUUCAGCAGGUCCAAGAAAUUUGAACACACUGAAGGAAGUCAGCCUUCCCACCUGAAGAUCAACAUGCCUGGCACUCUAGCACUUGAGGAUAGCUGAAUGAAUGUGUAUUUCUUUGUCUCUUUCUUUCUUGUCUUUGCUCUUUGUUCUCUAUCUAAAGUGUGUCUUACCCAUUUCCAUGUUUCUCUUGCUAAUUUCUUUCGUGUGUGCCUUUGCCUCAUUUUCUCUUUUUGUUCACAAGAGUGGUCUGUGUCUUGUCUUAGACAUAUCUCUCAUUUUUCAUUUUGUUGCUAUUUCUCUUUGCUCUCCUAGAUGUGGCUCUUCUUUCACGCUUUAUUUCAUGUCUCCUUUUUGGGUCACAUGCUGUGUGCUUUUUGUCCUUUUCUUGUUCUGUCUACCUCUCCUUUCUCUGCCUACCUCUCUUUUCUCUUUGUGAACUGUGAUUAUUUGUUACCCCUUCCCCUUCUCGUUCGUUUUAAAUUUCACCUUUUUUCUGAGUCUGGCCUCCUUUCUGCUGUUUCUACUUUUUAUCUCACAUUUCUCAUUUCUGCAUUUCCUUUCUGCCUCUCUUGGGCUAUUCUCUCUCUCCUCCCCUGCGUGCCUCAGCAUCUCUUGCUGUUUGUGAUUUUCUAUUUCAGUAUUAAUCUCUGUUGGCUUGUAUUUGUUCUCUGCUUCUUCCCUUUCUACUCACCUUUGAGUAUUUCAGCCUCUUCAUGAAUCUAUCUCCCUCUCUUUGAUUUCAUGUAAUCUCUCCUUAAAUAUUUCUUUGCAUAUGUGGGCAAGUGUACGUGUGUGUGUGUCAUGUGUGGCAGAGGGGCUUCCUAACCCCUGCCUGAUAGGUGCAGAACGUCGGCUAUCAGAGCAAGCAUUGUGGAGCGGUUCCUUAUGCCAGGCUGCCAUGUGAGAUGAUCCAAGACCAAAACAAGGCCCUAGACUGCAGUAAAACCCAGAACUCAAGUAGGGCAGAAGGUGGAAGGCUCAUAUGGAUAGAAGGCCCAAAGUAUAAGACAGAUGGUUUGAGACUUGAGACCCGAGGACUAAGAUGGAAAGCCCAUGUUCCAAGAUAGAUAGAAGCCUCAGGCCUGAAACCAACAAAAGCCUCAAGAGCCAAGAAAACAGAGGGUGGCCUGAAUUGGACCGAAGGCCUGAGUUGGAUGGAAGUCUCAAGGCUUGAGUUAGAAGUCUUAAGACCUGGGACAGGACACAUGGAAGGCCUAAGAACUGAGACUUGUGACACAAGGCCAACGACCUAAGAUUAGCCCAGGGUUGUAGCUGGAAGACCUACAACCCAAGGAUGGAAGGCCCCUGUCACAAAGCCUACCUAGAUGGAUAGAGGACCCAAGCGAAAAAGGUAUCUCAAGACUAACGGCCGGAAUCUGGAGGCCCAUGACCCAGAACCCAGGAAGGAUAGAAGCUUGAAGACCUGGGGAAAUCCCAAGAUGAGAACCCUAAACCCUACCUCUUUUCUAUUGUUUACACUUCUUACUCUUAGAUAUUUCCAGUUCUCCUGUUUAUCUUUAAGCCUGAUUCUUUUGAGAUGUACUUUUUGAUGUUGCCGGUUACCUUUAGAUUGACAGUAUUAUGCCUGGGCCAGUCUUGAGCCAGCUUUAAAUCACAGCUUUUACCUAUUUGUUAGGCUAUAGUGUUUUGUAAACUUCUGUUUCUAUUCACAUCUUCUCCACUUGAGAGAGACACCAAAAUCCAGUCAGUAUCUAAUCUGGCUUUUGUUAACUUCCCUCAGGAGCAGACAUUCAUAUAGGUGAUACUGUAUUUCAGUCCUUUCUUUUGACCCCAGAAGCCCUAGACUGAGAAGAUAAAAUGGUCAGGUUGUUGGGGAAAAAAAAGUGCCAGGCUCUCUAGAGAAAAAUGUGAAGAGAUGCUCCAGGCCAAUGAGAAGAAUUAGACAAGAAAUACACAGAUGUGCCAGACUUCUGAGAAGCACCUGCCAGCAACAGCUUCCUUCUUUGAGCUUAGUCCAUCCCUCAUGAAAAAUGACUGACCACUGCUGGGCAGCAGGAGGGAUGAUGACCAACUAAUUCCCAAACCCCAGUCUCAUUGGUACCAGCCUUGGGGAACCACCUACACUUGAGCCACAAUUGGUUUUGAAGUGCAUUUACAAGUUUCUGGCAUCACUACCACUACUGAUUAAACAAGAAUAAGAGAACAUUUUAUCAUCAUCUGCUUUAUUCACAUAAAUGAAGUUGUGAUGAAUAAAUCUGCUUUUAUGCAGACACAAGGAAUUAAGUGGCUUCGUCAUUGUCCUUCUACCUCAAAGAUAAUUUAUUCCAAAAGCUAAGAUAAAUGGAAGACUCUUGAACUUGUGAACUGAUGUGAAAUGCAGAAUCUCUUUUGAGUCUUUGCUGUUUGGAAGAUUGAAAAAUAUUGUUCAGCAUGGGUGACCACCAGAAAGUAAUCUUAAGCCAUCUAGAUGUCACAAUUGAAACAAACUGGGGAGUUGGUUGCUAUUGUAAAAUAAAAUAUACUGUUUUGAAAACUUUGUAUUUUGAUGUGACAAUUUCUAACUCAC
rnacentral:lncRNA from 1 species